rnacentral:rRNA from 1 species
AGAGUUUGAUCCUGGCUCAGGAUGAACGCUAGCGGCAGGCUUAAUACAUGCAAGUCGUGGGGCAGCGCAGUGUAGCAAUACAUGGGCGGCGACCGGCAAACGGGUGCGGAACACGUACACAACCUUCCUACAAGUGGGGAAUAGCCCAGAGAAAUUUGGAUUAAUACCCCGUAACAUAUAAAGAUGGCAUCAUUUUUAUAUUAUAGCUACGGCGCUUGUUGAUGGGUGUGCGGCUGAUUAGGUAGUUGGCGGGGUAAUGGCCCACCAAGCCUGCGAUCAGUAGCUGAUGUGAGAGCAUGAUCAGCCACACGGGCACUGAGACACGGGCCCGACUCCUACGGGAGGCAGCAGUAAGGAAUAUUGGACAAUGGGCGCAAGCCUGAUCCAGCCAUGCCGCGUGAAGGAUUAAGGUCCUCUGGAUUGUAAACCUCUUUUAUAAGGGACGAAAAAAGGGAAUUCUUUCUCACUUGACGGUACCUUAUGAAUAAGCACCGGCUAACUCCGUGCCAGCAGCCGCGGUAAUACGGAGGGUGCAAGCGUUAUCCGGAUUCACUGGGUUUAAAGGGUGCGUAGGCGGGUAUUUAAGUCAGUGGUGAAGUCCUAGAGCUUAACUCUAGAACUGCCAUUGAUACUAUUUAUCUUGAAUAUUGUGGAGGUAAGCGGAAUAUGUCAUGUAGCGGUGAAAUGCUUAGAUAUGACAUAGAACACCUAUUGCGAAGGCAGCUUACUACGCAUAUAUUGACGCUGAGGCACGAAAGCGUGGGGAUCAAACAGGAUUAGAUACCCUGGUAGUCCACGCCCUAAACGAUGGAUACUCGACAUACGCGAUACACUGUGUGUGUCUGAGCGAAAGCAUUAAGUAUCCCACCUGGGAAGUACGACCGCAAGGUUGAAACUCAAAGGAAUUGACGGG